rnacentral:rRNA from 1 species
GAUGAACGCUGGCGGCGUGCCUAAUACAUGCAAGUCGAGCGAACAGACGAGGAGCUUGCUCCUCUGACGUUAGCGGCGGACGGGUGAGUAACACGUGGAUAACCUACCUAUAAGACUGGGAUAACUUCGGGAAACCGGAGCUCAUACCGGAUAAUAUAUUGAACGGCAUGUUUCAAUAGUUAAAGACGGUUUUGCUGUCACUUAUAGAUGGAUCCGCGCCACAUUAGCUAGUUGGUAAGGUAACGGCUUACCAAGGCAACGAUGGGUAGCCGGCCUGAGAGGGUGAUCGGCCACACUGGAACUGAGACACGGUCCAGACUCCUACGGGAGGCAGCAGUAGGGAAUCUUCGGCAAUGGGCGAAAGCCUGACGGAGCAACGCCGCGUGAAUGAUGAAGGUCUUCGGGUCGUAAAACGCUGUUAUUAGGGAAGAACAAAUGUGUAAGUAACUAUGCACGUAUUGACGGUACCUAAUCAGAAAGCAACGGCUAACUACGUG